rnacentral:tRNA from 1 species
GUCCUCGUAGCCCAGCUGGUAGAGUACACGUGGUCCUAACGCGGGGGGUGGUAACCAUGCGCGGGUUUGAAUCCCGCGGGGUCA